UAGCAUAUCAAUAAGCGGAGGAAAAGAAACCAACAGGGAUUGCCAUAGUAACGGCGAGUGAAGCGGCAACAGCUCAAAUUUGAAAUCUGGCUCUCGGGCCCGAGUUGUAAUUUGUAGAGGAUGCUUUUGAUGCGGUGCCUUCCGAGUUCCCUGGAACGGGACGCCAUAGAGGGUGAGAGCCCCGUCUGGUUGGAUGCCAAAUCUCUGUAAAGCUCCUUCGACGAGUCGAGUAGUUUGGGAAUGCUGCUCUAAAUGGGAGGUAUAUGUCUUCUAAAGCUAAAUACCGGCCAGAGACCGAUAGCGCACAAGUAGAGUGAUCGAAAGAUGAAAAGCACUUUGAAAAGAGAGUUAAAAAGUACGUGAAAUUGUUGAAAGGGAAGCGUUUAUGACCAGACUUGGGCUUGGUUAAUCAUCUGGGGUUCUCCCCAGUGCACUUUUCCAGUCCAGGCCAGCAUCAGUUUUCGCCGGGGGAUAAAGGCUUCGGGAAUGUGGCUCUCUCCGGGGAGUGUUAUAGCCCGUUGCGUAAUACCCUGGCGGGGACUGAGGUUCGCGCAUCUGCAAGGAUGCUGGCGUAAUGGUCAUCAACGACCCGUCUUGAAACACGGACCAAGGAGUCGUCUUCGUAUGCGAGUGUUCGGGUGUCAAACCCCUACGCGUAAUGAAAGUGAACGCAGGUGAGAGCUUCGGCGCAUCAUCGACCGAUCCUGAUGUUCUCGGAUGGAUUUGAGUAAGAGCAUACGGGGCCGGACCCGAAAGAAGGUGAACUAUGCCUGUGUAGGGUGAAGCCAGAGGAAACUCUGGUGGAGGCUCGCAGCGGUUCUGACGUGCAAAUCGAUCGUCAAACAUGGGCAUGGGGGGCGAAAGACUAAUCGAACCUUCUAGUAGCUGGUUUCCGCCGAU
rnacentral:rRNA from 1 species